AUUUUUUUUUCGUGGUUAAGAUUGGAUAAUUUAUACAUUUUUUUCUCUGUAUAAUUUACCUUGUUGAGAGACAUAUUAUUUUACGAACUGAUUCUGGCAGUGGGAUGAGGACUUGUUUAGGUACUUGGCACUUUCAGACUUGAAUUUUUAAGGGAGUUGCUAUAUAGUUCCGUGCUGUUAUCGUUUACAGCAUGUGGCAUGGUUGCAGAAAUGCUAGUGUGUUUACAUUUUGCUUGUCCAACACAAAUCCUUUUAUGGUUCUAUUCUCUGUACUAAAAUAACUUUUUUUUUUAAGUUGCUAAUUUGAAUACCCUAUCAUGCUGUGUAGUGAAUGAUAAAUGGCUGUCUAUAAUAAGCUUGCAGUGCAUGCUUGUUUUCCCUUUCUUAUUUGGUGAAAGAUGACUCUGUAAUAUGUUUUUAUCUUGUUAUUUGUGUUAAUGUUAUAUAUAUGCAUACAUACCCUGGUACCUUAGAGUUUCAGAAUUAGUCAAGUUUGGCUGUUUUCUGUUCGAAUCCAUUCAUUUUUCACUUGAAUGGUGGAUUUAUCCAUCAUACUAUGAGUCUCACAACAUUUUCUAGUUACUAAGCAGAAAAUGCUUUUCCAUGUUGGUAUUGCUUUACUUGAUGUUUCUUUCUGACAUUUGGUUUGGGGAUUUGAUAGGUGUCUGAAUUGAUGGGAGGGGAAAGCUUGUAAAUGCUGAAGUAGGAAUGCAUGGAUGCGGUUCAGGAUCGGCUCUCCUAGUAAAUGCUGAGGUUGAUUCCAUGGGAGGGGUUGUUGACGGCGGAGUUGGAAUUGGCAUCAAAACCUCUCCGCGCCGAGCAGCAGUUGAGAGAGCUCAGGCAGAGCUCAGACAGGAGUAUGAUGUUCGUGAGGAAAGGAGAAGAGAGCUAGAUUUUCUUCAGAAAGGUGGCAAUCCAUUAGACUUUAAGUUUGGGAGUGCAGCUUCAGUUAGUGUCCAGUCUACUUCUCUCACUGAUCAUCACACAGAACAUUUUGUGACUAGUGAAGCAAAAGGUAGUUUUGCACUGACUGCAUCACCUCAUGGGGACUCUGUAGAAAGUAGUGGCAGACCAGGGGCUCUCACAGUUUGUGAACCCAAUAGUGCUGAUAAUUUUGAUGGUGAAAAUGAGAUUCUCAAAGGCGAAAGGAAACCUAAACAUUCCAGUAGGAGGAAUAAUAUUGCUCCAUCAGAACAGUCUUCCCAGAUGGAAGGGACUCAAAAUGCCAAGGAAUCAGAAGAUUCUGCUAUUGUUCGCCCAUAUGCUAGAAGGAACAGGUCCAGACCAAAUCGUGAUGGUGCUCGAUCAAGCUCAACUGACGUAGUUCAGAGUUCUGGUGGUCAUGGAUCUUUCUUCAAGGUUCAUGGCGGCUUGAGGGAUGUAAAGGGGUCUAUGUCUGAAACGAACGAUCAGAAGGACCAGAUUAUUCCUUCUGUUUCUUACGCCAAAUCCACCACUUCAAAUGGUGAUAUGGUUUCUCAGAUAGAGAUUACAACUACCCAGUCAAACAUGGAGCUGGAUGGUGCUGUAGCUCUGGAAGCAACAGCCUGCCUGGCUAAAGGUAGUCUCCCUGGCGAUAGGUUGGAUAUCUCGGAGACGAAAAUCUCAAAGCAUAACCAAAGUGAUCAAUUGUCAGAAGUUGAUGCUCAGAAAAUACCCAUUCACAUGGCUUCUGGAGAGUGUGACAAUGUUGGAGGGAAAGAAAAGGCAAUUUCAGCUACACCUGAAUAUCAACCUGGUGCAGCUGCAGGAAAAACUGAGUAUGAAAAUGGUUCCUCUGAGUUAAAUGGCUUUGGUGACUUGAAAAGAAAUGGAAAUGAAGGUCAAAAUGGCAAUGUUGCAAUAGGAACUAAGGGAUUAGAUUCAGAAUCCUCCUGCACUCAAAAUAGCCUAUACUUGGAUGUGAAUAAUGAAAGUGGUUUGUGUGCUAAAGGUAGAAAUGAUGAUAUUAACGGAAUUCAUUUGAAACAAACAUCAAAGUCUGAAGGAAUGCAAAAUUCAGUGGCUGGUGAAAUGGGAGAUGGAAAGAAUGAAACCAAGGCUACAGACUGCAGUGCUGUUGUCAAGGAAGAUAAUAAUUUUGUACAUCAAAAUAACUCUGGUAAUGAUUGUGUCAUUGAAAUGGAGCAAGAAAUACAGAGAAGUUCUGACUUGCAAAAAGAGUUGAAAUGUCCUUCUAACUUUGAAGGAGUGGAGCAGAAUGACCUUCCUGCAUCUGAAGCUGAUAAAAAAUUAUCUAAUGUGUUGGGUGAUGGUUCCAAUCUCAACAGAGAAAUCAUCUGUCCUGGUGGGCCUCAGGGUUCUGUGGAUAUAUAUAUUCAGGAGUUACCUGUAUCUACUUUGUCAGAGAAAAAUUCUUCUGCCGCUCCUGACCCUCAAUCUUGUUCUGGUAGUGAUUUGAUAGUUGCAGACAAGGCUCAUGAGGAUUCUUUCUUGGAAGAGGCACGAAUUAUAGAGGCUAAACGUAAGAGGAUUGCCGAGUUAUCUAUUGGGAUGGUACCUUUGGAGAGCCGCAGAAAAUCUCACUGGGAUUUUGUACUUGAAGAAAUGAUGUGGUUGGCAAAUGAUUUUGUGCAGGAGCGUCUAUGGAAAAUGACUGCUGCUGCUCAAAUAUGUCACCGGGUUGCUUUCACCUCUCGGCUGAGAGUUGAAGAGCAGAAUCAACAUUUGAAGCUGAAAAAAAUUGCUUAUACUCUGGCAAAGGCUGUCAUGCAGUUCUGGAGUUCAGCAGAGAUGCGUCUAAAUAAGGAUGACCAAAGUGUUAGUUUGACAAAUUUCAAGCAGGAUUCAAGGAGGUUUAAUGGGAAUGAAUUUUCCAAGGACAAGUUCACAGAACUAGAUAAGGGGACAUGCAAACACUUAGAGGUACAAAAUGCUGGAAAGAAUUUUGCAUGUCCAAUUCAGGGAUAUGCUGUAAGAUUUUUGAAAUGUAACAGCUCUGCAGUUCCUUCCCUUCAAGCUGAAGCACCAGCAACACCUGAUAGAGUGGAUGAUUCAGGCAUUAUUGGAACUUCAUGGGAACAUCAAUUGACAGAAGAAAGCCUAUUUUAUGCUGUUCCCUCAGGUGCAAUGGAAAUCUACAGAAACUCGAUUGAAUCUCAUUUGGCACAGUGUGAGAAGACUGGCAGCAGCAUGCAAGAGGAAGUUGAGACAUCUAUGUAUGAUGCUGCUACAGAGUUUGGAUAUCAUGAGAGUGCAUAUGAUGAGGAGGAAGGAGAAACAAGCACAUAUUAUUUGCAAGGAGUCUUUGAAGGUAGCAAGUCAACAAAACAUGACCAGAAGAACAGGAAAAGUUUUAUGAAAUAUUCUGGAAGAUCAUAUGAAGUGGGACCUGAUUUGUCUUAUGGAUACUGCACAACUGUCUCUCAACAGAAUUCACUGAUGGGAAAAAGGCCUGUCAGUAAUCUUCAUGUUGGUCCAAUUCCAACAAAGCGUGUUCGCUCUGUUGCAUCUAGGCAUAGGUUUACAAGUCCUUUUAAUGCUGGAGUGCAGACUCCAGUGAAGACAGAUGCUUCAAGUGGAGAUACUAGUUCUUUUCAGGAUGACCAGAGUACCUUGAAUGGAUCCCAAAUCCAGAAGAGUGUGGAGGUUGAGUCAGUUGGGGACUUCGAAAAGCAGUUACCGUAUGACUGUGCAGAGACAUCAACAAAACCAAAAAAGAAGAAGAAGAAGAUUAAGCAUCAUGUGGGUCCUGCUUAUGAGCAGGUUUGGCAGCUGGAUUCCACUGUUCAUAAUGAACAGAGGGAUAAUUCCAAAAGGAGACUGGAUACUCAUCAUUUUGACUCUAAUGGUGCUAGUGGUUUAAUGUAUGGGCAACAUACUGCAAAGAAGCCAAAGAUACUUAAACAGCCACUAGAUGGUGCUUUUGAUAAUAUGACUCCAAUGAGUGGUUCAAUUCCUUCUCCCGCAGCUUCCCAAAUGAGUAAUAUGCCAAGUAAAAUAAUGAAAUUUAUUGUUGGCCGGGACAGGGGCAGAAAGCCUAAAUCACUGAAGGCGCCUGCUGGGCAGCCAGGUUCUCGAAGUCCAUGGUCACUUUUUGAAGACCAGGCACUUGUUGUCCUUGCACAUGAUAUGGGUCCUAAUUGGGAGCUUGUAAGUGAUGCCAUCAACAGCACCCUUCAAUUUAAGUGUAUAUUCCGCAAGCCAAAAGAGUGCAAAGAACGUCACAAAAUCUUAAUGGAUAAGGGUGCUGGUGAUGGGGCUGAUAGUGCAGAUGAUUCAGGGUCUUCUCAAUCUUAUCCAUCAACUUUGCCUGGCAUCCCGAAGGGCAGUGCCAGACAGUUAUUUCAACGUUUGCAAGGGCCAAUGGAGGAGGAUACUCUCAAGUCUCAUUUUGAAAAGAUUAUUAUGAUUGGGAAGAAGUACCUUUACAGGAGGAGUCAGAACGAUAACCAGGAUCCUAAACAAAUAGUACCAGUUCACAGUUCUCAUGUUAAUGCCCUUGAACAAGUACCCACAAACAAAAAUGGAGGUGUUUUGACGCCCCUUGAUAUCUGUGAUGCAACUGCAUCAAGCCCAGAUAUUCUUCCCAUUCAUGCUAGUGGUUUAUCCACGCCAAAUCAAGGUGCUGUAGGAUCAAUGCUUCCUAUUUCUGGGACAAACUCUUCUCUGCAAGUACCUCCUGGUGUGGUUCUUGGCAAUAACUCGUCACAACCUGGGCCACUUAAUGCUCCCAUCAGGGAUGGUAGGUACAGUGUUCCAAGAACAUCUUUACCAGUUGAUGAUCAGCAGAAAAUGCAACAUUAUAAUCAAAUGCUAUCUAACAGAAGUUUGCAGCAGUCUAACUUGCCUGUCUCUGGAGCUCUUUCUGGAGCUGAUCGUGUUCGCAUGCUUCCGGGUGGAAAUCCUGUAGGCAUGAUGUCUGGGAUGAACAGAAGCAUGCCACUGUCUAGGCCAGGCUUUCAGGGAGUGGCCUCAUCAUCGAUGAUGAAUUCCACUAGUAUGCUUUCCUCAGGUGUGGCUGGGAUGCCAAGCCCUGUAAGUAUGCAAUCUGGAAGUAGUUCUGGUCAAGGGAAUUCAAUGAUGAGAUCUCGUGAGGCUUUGCACCUGAUGCGGACUGGCCAUAACUCAGAGCAUCAAAGACAAAUUAUGUCUCCUGAACUUCAGAUGCAAGGAAACAGCCAAGGGAUUCCUGCUUUUAGUGGGUUGACUUCUACUUUUGCUAAUCAGACGACCCAAUCGGCUGUGCAGGCGUAUCCUGGCCAUCCCCAGCAGCAGCAUCAAAUGCCUCCACAACAAUCUCAUGUGAUUAGCAAUCCUCAUCUUCAGGGUGCCAAUCAUGCUACAGGACAGCAGCAAGCAUAUGCAAUCCGUUUUGCUAAAGAAAGGCAAAUGCAGCAGCGGCUUCUGCAGCAACAGCAGUUUGCUUCAUCUGGUGCCUUGAUGACACAUGUCCAACCUCAGCCCCAACUCCCCAUGUCUUCAUCUAUGCAAAACGGUUCCCAGGUUCAGCCACAAACUUCAUCACAACCAGUAUCACUUCCCUCAUUAACACCUUCUUCUCCUAUGACUCCCAUAUCAGUACAGCAGCAGCAGA
rnacentral:misc_RNA from 1 species